rnacentral:rRNA from 1 species
UGGGGAAUUUUGGACAAUGGGCGCAAGCCUGAUCCAGCCAUGCCGCGUGUCUGAAGAAGGCCUUCGGGUUGUAAAGGACUUUUGUCAGGGAAGAAAAGGCUGUUGCUAAUAUCAGCGGCUGAUGACGGUACCUGAAGAAUAAGCACCGGCUAACUACGUGCCAGCAGCCGCGGUAAUACGUAGGGUGCAAGCGUUAAUCGGAAUUACUGGGCGUAAAGCGAGCGCAGACGGUUACUUAAGCAGGAUGUGAAAUCCCCGGGCUCAACCUGGGAACUGCGUUCUGAACUGGGUGACUAGAGUGUGUCAGAGGGAGGUAGAAUUCCACGUGUAGCAGUGAAAUGCGUAGAGAUGUGGAGGAAUACCGAUGGCGAAGGCAGCCUCCUGGGAUAACACUGACGUUCAUGCUCGAAAGCGUGGGUAGCAAACAGGAUUAGAUACCCUGGUAGUCCACGCCCUAAACGAUGUCAAUUANCUGUUGGGCAACUUGAUUGNUCANUAGCGUAGCUNACGCGUGAAAUUGACCGCCUGGGGGAGUACGGUCGCAAGAUUA